rnacentral:rRNA from 1 species
AGCGAACGCUGGCGGCAGGCUUAACACAUGCAAGUCGAGCGGGCAUCUUCGGAUGUCAGCGGCAGACGGGUGAGGAACACGUGGGAACGUACCCUUCGGUUCGGAACAACUCUGGGAAACUGGAGCUAAUACCGGAUACGCCCUUAUGGGGAAAGGUUUACUGCCGAAGGAUCGGCCCGCGUCUGAUUAGCUAGUUGGUGGGGUAACGGCCUACCAAGGCGACGAUCAGUAGCUGGUCUGAGAGGAUGAUCAGCCACACUGGGACUGAGACACGGCCCAGACUCCUACGGGAGGCAGCAGUGGGGAAUAUUGGACAAUGGGCGCAAGCCUGAUCCAGCCAUGCCGCGUGAGUGAUGAAGGCCUUAGGGUUGUAAAGCUCUUUUGUCCGGGACGAUAAUGACGGUACCGGAAGAAUAAGCCCCGGCUAACUUCGUG